rnacentral:rRNA from 1 species
UACGUAGGGUCCGAGCGUUGUCCGGAAUUACUGGGCGUAAAGAGCUCGUAGGUGGUUUGUCGCGUUGUUCGUGAAAACUCACAGCUCAACUGUGGGCGUGCGGGCGAUACGGGCAGACUAGAGUACUGCAGGGGGAGACUGGAAUUCCUGGUGUAGCGGUGGAAAUGCGCAGAUAUCAGGAGGAACACCCGGUGGGCGAAAGGCGGGUCUCUGGGCAGUGAACUGACGCUGGAGGAGCGAAAGCGUGGGGAGCGAACAGG